rnacentral:rRNA from 1 species
AGAGUUUGAUCCUGGCUCAGGACGAACGCUGGCGGCGUGCUUAACACAUGCAAGUCGAACGAUGAACUCCAGCUUGCUGGGGGGAUUAGUGGCGAACGGGUGAGUAACACGUGAGUAACCUGCCCUGGACUCUGGGAUAACCCCGAGAAAUCGGAGCUAAUACCGGAUAGGACCUUGGACCGCAUGGUUUGGGGUGGAAAGUUUUUCGGUCUGGGAUGGACUCGCGGCCUAUCAGCUUGUUGGUGAGGUAAUGGCUCACCAAGGCGUCGACGGGUAGCCGGCCUGAGAGGGUGACCGGCCACACUGGGACUGAGACACGGCCCAGACUCCUACGGGAGGCAGCAGCGGGGAAUAUUGCGCAAUGGGCGAAAGCCUGACGCAGCGACGCCGCGUGCGGGAUGACGGCCUUCGGGUUGUAAACCGCUUUCAGCAGGGACGAAGCGCAAGUGACGGUACCUGCAGAAGAAGGUCCGGCCAACUACGUGCCAGCAGCGGCGGUAAUUC